rnacentral:rRNA from 1 species
AUGAAACAAGGGAGGGAGAGAGAGAGAGAAAAAAAAAAGCAGCCAACCCGACAUCCAACCAGCCGCCGCUCAUCCUCCAUUCUCUCUAUCCCAGACCCAGAAGCCCAAACCAACCACACUCACCAUCGACCUCGCCGCCGACUCCGCGCUCCACCUCCGCCGCGUCCGCCGCCGUUCUCGCCGGCGACCCAGCCCCAGCUCAAACCAGCGGCGCUCACCCGCUCUUCCUCUGUGCCGAAUCGAUUCCCUCAUCCCCCGCAAAGAAGAAGAAGAAUUGAUUCCCUCACCCAACCAGCCACCGCCCCCACCGGCGACCUCGCCGCCGGCUCUUCCCUCUUCCCCACCGUCGCUGGCCUGCACCCUCUCCUGUACCAUAGGCCCGAGACGGAGCUGUUGCGGCCGGAUCCGACACGGCCGCAGCCGUCGUCAAGGGAUUCAAGCGUGGGGAGAGGAGCCUCCAUGUGCCCGUGCGGCGGCCCCUUGGUUCCCUAUUCUCCUCUCUGUGCCGCCGAGAGAGGAGCUCUUCGAGGAUCCCCUCGCUCUUCUCCACGGCGCUGCUUCCGGAUCCGCCAAGGAGGUUCUCGAUCUGGUUAUGCUCGGGCGACGCCGCCGCCGGAGAUGGCCGAGCUCGCGCACCGGGAGAGAAGAGUGACGCUGUCAUGCGGUUCCUCGCGUGGAGAUGGCUUGUUGUUCCGUGCCGACGCCAUGGAUGGAGCUCGUCAAGGUCACCUCCCACCUCUUCUUCUCUUGUUCGCACACGAACACGUCACCGUGUACCUCCGACGCCGAGGGUGA